ACGAAGGGGGCUAGCGUUGCUCGGAAUUACUGGGCGUAAAGGGCGCGUAGGCGGGUGUUUAAGUCAGAGGUCAAAUCCCAGAGCUCAACUCUGGAACUGCCUUUGAUACUGGACACCUAGAGUUCGGGAGAGGUGUGUGGAACUCCGAGUGUAGAGGUGAAAUUCGUAGAUAUUCGGAAGAACACCAGUGGCGAAGGCGACACACUGGCCCGAUACUGACGCUGAGGCGCGAAAGCGUGGGGAGCAAACAGGAUUAGAUACCCUGGUAGUCCACGCCGUAAACGAUGAGUGCUAGUUGUCGGCAUGCAUGCAUGUCGGUGACGCAGCUAACGCAUUAAGCACUCCGCCUGGGGAGUACGGUCGCAAGAUUA
rnacentral:rRNA from 1 species